UACGUAGGGGGCGAGCGUUGUCCGGAUUUAUUGGGCGUAAAACGCUUGUAGGCGGCCACGCCAAGUCGGAUGUGAAAUCUCCCGGCUUAACUGGGAGGGGUCAUCCGAUACUGGCGGGCUCGAGGCAGGUAGGGGGAAGUGGAAUUCCCGGUGUAGCGGUGAAAUGACGUAGAUAUCAGGAGGAACACCGGUGGUGUAAACGGCUUUCUGGACCAUAACUGACGCUGGAGGCACGAAAGCGUGGGUAGCAAACAGG
rnacentral:rRNA from 1 species